rnacentral:sRNA from 1 species
UUGUCUCAAGGUUCACCAGGAGACAUUGGACCAAAAGGAGAUGCCGGUCAAAAAGGAGAAAUGGGUUCACCAGGAUCUCCAGGUUCUACAGGAGAAGUGGGUCCAGGUGGUCCAAAAGGC